CCAAAGGCUCUUUUAAGAGCCACCCAUUUAAACUAUAAAAGAGCUG
rfam:Caprimulgus carolinensis contig61448, whole genome shotgun sequence.